rnacentral:rRNA from 1 species
AUUGAACGCUGGCGGCAUGCCUUACACAUGCAAGUCGAACGGUAACGGGUCCUUCGGGAUGCCGACGAGUGGCGAACGGGGGAGUAAUAUAUCGGAACGUGCCCAGUAGUGGGGGAUAACUGCUCGAAAGAGCAGCUAAUACCGCAUACGACCUGAGGGUGAAAGGGGGGAUCGCAAGACCUCUCGCUAUUGGAGCGGCCGAGAUAAGAUUAGCUAGUUGGUGGGGUAAAGGCCUACCAAGGCAACGAUCUGUAGUUGGUCUGAGAGGACGACCAGCCACACUGGGACUGAGACACGGCCCAGACUCCUACGGGAGGCAGCAGUGGGGAAUUUUGGACAAUGGGCGCAAGCCUGAUCCAGCAAUGCCGCGUGCAGGAAGAAGGCCUUCGGGUUGUAAACUGCUUUUGUCAGGGAAGAAAUCUUCUGGGCUAAUACCCCGGGAGGAUGACGGUACCUGAAGAAUAAGCACCGGCUAACUACGUGCCAGCAGCCGCAGUAA